rnacentral:misc_RNA from 1 species
GCUUAUGGAUCCAUAGUGGAAUACGUUCGCCUAUAUCAGAACCAAUUAAUAGUCAGCGCGUUGUAAACGGAAGCAUGAAUCUUCAGCCGUUUAAAAAAGCGCAAAAAUCAAAUGCUUUUGGACACAAUAAGAUUGAUUGAUCCACUCGCCUGUCCAGGAGGCGCGUGGGUACAAUUUCAUCAAAUAGUCUAAAACACAAAUUGAAAGAUCUACACAUUUUAGAAUCCCUAUUUUGCCCUCCAAUACAACAGAAAAUUUCACUCUUACCACGCCACCAACCAAAACAGAGUGGGACCCAUAAAUAAAGAGCACAAAUAGAUCUAUACGAUACUAGAUUCAUAUGUGCGGCCCUUACAAGGCACGUGAGACAUCAACUAUCUCCACCUAAUCCAUCGACGGCUAGGAACGAAGGAAAAUAGUGGGACCCAAAGUAGCUAUAUUAGUAAUUUAAUAUACCUCACCGCCGGUGGAAUUAGCAGUUCGUCGCUUUGAUCCGGUUUAAAGCAAAAACCAGACCGAUUCCAUCCGAAAUCAAAACCAGUUAAAAGCUAUUUGACUUUAAAUGAAUCAAAUCAGUGAGUUAAGUUCGGUUCACACCUUUUUUUUAAAAAAAAUAAAAAUUUAACUGUGUCUUGAUUUUUUUAAUCUCGAACCAAAAAACCGGAAUCUGGAAUCGACCUGAAUCGGGCCGGUUGGCCACCCCACUCAUCCCUCCCAGUCUCCGUUGCUUUAAAAUGCAAAAUUUUACGAUUAUUGAAAGCAUGAGAUCAGCCACUGGGAUCUUGCCCCUAAUAGAUCUGGAUUCAAGCGGGCCCCACUCCCUAAUUAUUUGGGCAUGACGUGGCAAUACCAUGAAUCUUUUCAUGCACAAGGGCGCGUUGGCGUCACUCGCUCCAACCCUCCCCAGACACCACCGAAAUCAAAAUCCACACAUCACAAGUAACAGAAUUUGAUAAAUCGCUUACAGAUCUAAUAAGUUCAAGAUUGA